AGACGACGACGCUGAUAGGCCGGGUGUGUAAGCGCAGCGAUGCGUUGAGCUAACCGGUACUAAUGAACCGUGAGGCUUAACCUU
rnacentral:rRNA from 1 species